GUGAGGAAUAUUGGUCAAUGGGCGAGAGCCUGAACCAGCCAAGUCGCGUGAAGGAUGAAGGUUUUAUGAAUUGUAAACUUCUUUUGCAGGGGAAUAAAGUACGGUACGUGUACCGUUUUGUAUGUACUCUGCGAAUAAGGAUCGGCUAACUCCGUGCCAGCAGCCGCGGUAAUACGGAGGAUCCAAGCGUUAUCCGGAUUUAGUGGGUUUAAAGGGUGCGCAGGCGGGGUGAUAAGUCAGCGGUGAAAGUUUGCAGCUUAACUGUAAAAAUGCCGUUGAAACUGUCGGACUUGAGUGUAAAUGAGGUAGGCGGAAUGCGUGGUGUAGCGGUGAAAUGCAUAGAUAUCACGCAGAACUCCGAUUGCGAAGGCAGCUUACUAAGCUACAACUGACACUGAAGCACGAAAGCGUGGGGAUCAAACAGGAUUAGAAACCCUAGUAGUCC
rnacentral:rRNA from 1 species